UGUGUUGUCUGAUGCCACUUCCGGCUUCACCUACUUCUGGCUUCGUCUCUCUCGUCUCGCGUUAGUCCUGGAUGGCCCUCGGCUUCACCUACUUCCGGCUUCAUCUCUGUCCUGGCUGCACGGUAUAGGCUGUUGGCACCAAGGGGACCUACUGCAACAACUGCAGUCUCGGCCUCGGCUACAAAUCCCUGCUGGUGAACCAGUACACCUGUAUCUCUUGUCGACGUCUUCUGACGACCACAUCCCCAACAAAUUGAUACGAGUAACUGAAAAUGCUAUGUAUAUAGAACAUGGAUGGCUGAAUAUACUUUUAUGCUAGGCCAAGUAGCAAACGAGAAGCAGAAAAUCCAAGGUCUGAAUUAUGUAGGGAAACUGGAGGGUCCACUUCUAAUCUUGGCUUGAAGUCCAUUUUUGUCGGAUACACAAAGUUACUCGUUUCUCUUUCACAUUAGGUUGUUCCUGCUGCAAGGGUGCGUUGUGUGGUCAAGGCCAAUGGAACCUGCUGCCAGGCGUAAGUGAUCACCUACAACAGCAACAACUGCAGUCUCAGCCACAAAUCCCCGCUGGUCAGCCUCGGUCCACAUGGAGCUGCUGCAGGCGUCUUCUCACGACCACGUCCCCGAGCAAUUGCUAUGAGUAACUGAAAAAAAGUGUAUCCCGAUCCACAGAAGAUUGUGCAGCACCACAGGAACGAUGAAAGGUUACGGUAGACGGAAGAAAGAAAUUUGAGUGUGACCAGCUUCGUCGGCAUGUUGAGGAAGAGGUUAUUUCCGUACUAAAAUGCGCACUCCAGGGCGUACCUUUUUUCAUGGGGCUUCUCAGGAGGCACGCCAUGCGGAAUGGCUGGCUUCGCUAGAGGAAUGGGUGGUGGUAUGCCUCAGGGAAUGGGUGGUGGUUUUCCUGGAGAUGGAGGUGCACCUGGUCCCGGUGUCUGCAUUUGGUGACCCUGAGGUCGCUGCGGCUUCAAGAUGGUAUAGUU